rfam:Asian citrus Psyllid, Diaphorina citri - Florida Strain, whole genome shotgun sequence.
GCCUUGGAGGACAGCGCGCCUGCCUUGUAAGCACUAAGUCGCGGGUUCGAAUCCUGUCCAGGGCA